rnacentral:rRNA from 1 species
GAUGAACGCUGGCGGCGUGCCUAAUACAUGCAAGUCGAGCGAACAGACGAGGAGCUUGCUCCUCUGACGUUAGCGGCGGACGGGUGAGUAACACGUGGAUAACCUACCUAUAAGACUGGGAUAACUUCGGGAAACCGGAGCUAGUACCGGAUAAUAUAUUGAACCGCAUGGUUCAAUAGUGAAAGACGGUUUUGCUGUCACUUAUAGAUGGAUCCGCGCUGCAUUAGCUAGUUGGUAAGGUAACGGCUUACCAAGGCAACGAUGCGUAGCCGACCUGAGAGGGUGAUCGGCCACACUGGAACUGAGACACGGUCCAGACUCCUACGGGAGGCAGCAGUAGGGAAUCUUCCGCAAUGGGCGAAAGCCUGACGGAGCAACGCCGCGUGAGUGAUGAAGGUCUUCGGAUCGUAAAACUCUGUUAUUAGGGAAGAACAAAUGUGUAAGUAACUAUGCACGUCUUGACGGUACCUAAUCAGAAAGCCACGGCUAACUACGUG